UUAGCUCAUAUUUGUAUGGAAUGGGAUCGAUAGCGUACGUUUGCCGCUAGGGGCGCUGUUCCAACUGCAUACAGAAUUGGGUUA
rnacentral:pre_miRNA from 1 species